UACGGGGGAUGCAAGCGUUAUCCGGAAUGAUUGGGCGUAAAGCGUCCGCAGGUGGCUAUGUAAGUCUGCUGUUAAAGAGUGAGGCUCAACCUCAUAAAAGCAGUGGAAACUACAUGGCUAGAGUGCGUUCGGGGCAGAGGGAAUUCCUGGUGUAGCGGUGAAAUGCGUAGAGAUCAGGAAGAACACCGGUGGCGAAGGCGCUCUGCCAGGCCGUAACUGACACUGAGGGACGAAAGCUAGGGGAGCGAAUGGG
rnacentral:rRNA from 1 species